rnacentral:rRNA from 1 species
AGUCGAACGAGAAGGGAUUGCUUGCAAUCCUGAGUAGAGUGGCGCACGGGUGAGUAACACGUAGAUAAUCUACCUUCAAGCCCGGGAUAACUAUUCGAAAGGAUAGCUAAUACCGGAUAAAGUUGUCUGGCAUAAGUCAGAUUAUGAAAGAUUGCCUCUUCUUGAAAGCAAUUGUUUGGAGAUGAGUCUGCGGACCAUUAGUUUGUUGGUGGGGUAAAGGCCUACCAAGACUGCGAUGGUUAGCUGGUCUGAGAGGAUGAUCAGUCACACUGGAACUGGAACACGGUCCAGACUCCUACGGGAGGCAGCAGUGAGGAAUUUUGCGCAAUGGGGGCAACCCUGACGCAGCAACGCCGCGUGAGUGAAGAAGGCCUUUGGGUCGUAAAGCUCUGUCGACAGGGAAGAAAUUGAUUCAUAUUAAUAGUAUGUUUCAUUGACGGUACCUGUAGAGGAAGCACCGGCUAACUCCGUGCCAGCAGCCGCGGUAAUACGGGGGGUGCAAGCGUUAUUCGGAAUUAUUGGGCGUAAAGGGCGUGUAGGCGGUCUUAUCGGUCAGAUGUGAAAGCCCAGGGCUCAACCCUGGACGUGCAUUUGAAACAGUAAGACUUGAGUACUGGAGAGGAAAGCGGAAUUCCUGGUGUAGAGGUGAAAUUCGUAGAUGUCAGGAGGAACACCGAUGGCGAAGGCAGCUUUCUGGACAGAAACUGACGCUGAUGCGCGAAGGCGUGGGUAGCGAACAGGAUUAGAUACCCUGGUAGUCCACGCAGUAAACGAUGUACACUAGGUGUAGGUGAUAUUAAAAUUGUCUGUGCCGUAGCUAACGCAUUAAGUGUACCGCCUGGGGAGUA